AGCCAUUUAAAUCCCUCUCCAAUCCAUCCGUAAAGUGCAAAAUGUCUUCUUCCACCAUCUUCAUCGCUGUUCAAUGCUGCCAGUGCUCCACUAUGCAGGUGAAGCAGCAGAAGAAGAGCAGCAACAAGUGGACAUGUGCGGUGUGCAACCAGAAGCAAUCUGUACGGAAACUUUUUGCACAGGGUUACAUGGCUAAAGACCUCCGCAAGUUCGUCCAAUCCUUUAACAUGUCCCGCAAGUUCGCCGACGACGGUCAACAACACGAAUCCCUAACUUCAGUUACUUCACCUUGUGAUGCCGGCCUUUUAGAGGAUCACCAGAGGAAGAGACGCUCCAAUUGGAGUGAGUACCUUGAUCCCGAGGAGAAUGGAAGCAAGGAGAAAAUAAAACCAGAAGAAGAAGGAGACGAUUUUGGAUCAAAGAUUGUAACAGAGUGGCCAAGAGAUAUGUUUAAGAAACCCAAAUUGAGGGACCAAGCUUCUGGAUCUGACAAUGGAGAUGGUGAUAGGAACUCCUACAAACCGGUUUUCUCAAAGAAAACGAACCAAGAAAUUGUCUCUCAAGGAAAGGAAAAGAUAUAUCAGCCUGCAAAGAUCAUUAGUGCUUCUAAAUGGAGUGAUUACAUGACAGAAGACUACAAGGAGCAAAGAACAGCUCAACCAACAAUGGCAACAAAGGCUUCCAAAUGGAAUGCUUAUGUAACCCAUGAUCACAGCAGCUUGAAAGUGGGAAAUAGGAGAAAUUUUGCAGAUGAUACGGGUCAAUAUAGCCAUGAUAUUUGGGAGACUAUAUUGGAUGAUCAGAAGGUAGAAGAUGAUAUCCACCCAGAUUUCAUGUAAAUCUCUCAUAAGACGGAACAAAUAUGAGAAAUGUCUCUUAAAAGUUAUUAAAUUUUCGUUUUUUUUUUUU
rnacentral:misc_RNA from 1 species